rnacentral:rRNA from 1 species
UUGGAAACUGAAAGACUUGAGUGCAGAAGAGGAGAGUGGAACUCCAUGUGUAGCGGUGAAAUGCGUAGAUAUAUGGAAGAACACCAGUGGCGAAAGCGGCUCUCUGGUCUGUAACUGACGCUGAGGUUCGAAAGUGUGGGUAGCAAACAGGAUUAGAUACCCUGGUAGUCCACACCGUAAACGAUGAAUGCUAAGUGUUGGAGGGUUUCCGCCCUUCGGUGCUGCAGCUAACGCAUUAAGCAUUCCGCCUGGGGAGUACGACCGCAAGGUUGAAACUCAAAGGAAUUGACGGGGGCCCGCACAAGCGG